rnacentral:rRNA from 1 species
GACGAACGCUGGCGGCGUGCUUAACACAUGCAAGUCGAACGGAAAGGCCCUGCUUGCAGUGUUCUCGAGUGGCGCACGGGUGAGUAACACGUGGGUGAUCUGCCCUGCACUUCGGUAUAACCUUGGGAAACUGGCUCUUAUCCCGGAGAGGAGCCAUCUUUAGUGUGUUGGUUGGAGAGUUUUUUCGGUGUAGGAUGAGCUCGCGGCCUAUCAGCUUGGUGGUGGGGUAAUAGCCUACCAAGGCGGCGACGGGUAGCCGGCCUGAGAGGGUGUACGGCCACAUUGGGGCUGAGAUACGGGCCAGACUCCUACGGGGGGCAGGAGGGGGGAAUAUUGGACAAUGGGCGGAAGCCUGAUGGAGCGACGCCGCGUGGGGGAUGAAGGCCUUCGGGGUGGAAACUCCUUUCGCUAGGGACGAAGCCUUGUUGUGACGGUACCUAGAGAAGAAGCACCGGCUAACUACGUG